rnacentral:lncRNA from 1 species
AAAAUGUUGGGAAAUGUGAAGAGAGAUGUUUCAGCAAGUAGAUCUCUUUUGGGCAAAUUGAAAGCAGUGGCAUCACCCUGAGGCAAUCAGCAUCCCAAUUCAUCAGGAUGCUGGGAUGAAAGCUCUGUAGAUCCUGAAUUUGCCCAACAACCUGCUGAAUGCUUUUCCGAAUUGUCCCUAUCAAUCGGGCACAGAUCAUCUAUUUAAACAUACGAAAUGGCUUGACACUAAUAGCAUUUCUUCCAUUUUGGAAAAAAAAAAUAAGGACUGAUAUCCACAGAAGUAAAAAAACAAAAACUUCAGGAAAACAUCAUUAUAUAAGGGGGUGGUAUGUACCUUGAUAACAUAAAACGAUUUUACGUAAGAGAAUCUACCAACUGAACUCAUUUGUUUGGGUAUAAUAAAGAUAUAUAUCCUUAUAAUUG